UGCAGUCGAGCGGUAGAGAGAAGCUUGCUUCUCUUGAGAGCGGCGGACGGGUGAGUAAUGCCUAGGAAUCUGCCUGGUAGUGGGGGAUAACGUCCGGAAACGGACGCUAAUACCGCAUACGUCCUACGGGAGAAAGCAGGGGACCUUCGGGCCUUGCGCUAUCAGAUGAGCCUAGGUCGGAUUAGCUAGUUGGUGGGGUAAUGGCUCACCAAGGCGACGAUCCGUAACUGGUCUGAGAGGAUGAUCAGUCACACUGGAACUGAGACACGGUCCAGACUCCUACGGGAGGCAGCAGUGGGGAAUAUUGGACAAUGGGCGAAAGCCUGAUCCAGCCAUGCCGCGUGUGUGAAGAAGGUCUUCGGAUUGUAAAGCACUUUAAGUUGGGAGGAAGGGCAGUAAAUUAAUACUUUGCUGUUUUGACGUUACCGACAGAAUAAGCACCGGCUAACUCUGUGCCAGCAGCCGCGGUAAUACAGAGGGUGCAAGCGUUAAUCGGAAUUACUGGGCGUAAAGCGCGCGUAGGUGGUUCGUUAAGUUGGAUGUGAAAUCCCCGGGCUCAACCUGGGAACUGCAUUCAAAACUGACGAGCUAGAGUAUGGUAGAGGGUGGUGGAAUUUCCUGUGUAGCGGUGAAAUGCGUAGAUAUAGGAAGGAACACCAGUGGCGAAGGCGACCACCUGGACUGAUACUGACACUGAGGUGCGAAAGCGUGGGGAGCAAACAGGAUUAGAUACCCUGGUAGUCCACGCCGUAAACGAUGUCAACUAGCCGUUGGGAGCCUUGAGCUCUUAGUGGCGCAGCUAACGCAUUAAGUUGACCGCCUGGGGAGUACGGCCGCAAGGUUAAAACUCAAAUGAAUUGACGGGGGCCCGCACAGCGGUGGAGCAUGU
rnacentral:rRNA from 1 species